GUGGGGAGGCUAGCGUUAUCCGGAUUUACUGGGCGUAAAGCGCGCGCAGGCGGUUUGGUAAGUCGGGACGUGAAGGGCUCCCGGGCUCAACUGGGAGAGGCCGUUCGAUACUGCCAGACUAGAGGGCAGUAGAGGGAGGUGGAAUUCCAGGUGUAGCGGUGAAAUGCGUAGAUAUCGGGAGGAACACCAGUGGCGAAGGCGGCCUCCUGGGCUGUACCUGACGCUGAAGCGCGAAAGCGUGGGGAGCAAACGGGAUUAGAUACCCCGGUAGUCCACGCCGUAAACGAUGGAUACUAGGUGUCGGUGGUAUUGACCCCAUCGGUGCCGCAGCUAACGCAUUAAGUAUCCCGCCUGGGGACUACGGCCGCAAGGCUA
rnacentral:rRNA from 1 species